CGGGAAACCGGGGCUAAUACCGGAUGGUUGUUUGAACCGCAUGGUUCAAACAUAAAAGGUGGCUUCGGCUACCACUUACAGAUGGACCCGCGGCGCAUUAGCUAGUUGGUGAGGUAACGGCUCACCAAGGCAACGAUGCGUAGCCGACCUGAGAGGGUGAUCGGCCACACUGGGACUGAGACACGGCCCAGACUCCUACGGGAGGCAGCAGUAGGGAANNNUCCGCAAUNNNCGAAAGUCUGACGGAGCAACGCCGCGUGAGUGAUGAAGGUUUUCGGAUCGUAAAGCUCUGUUGUUAGGGAAGAACAAGUACCGUUCGAAUAGGGCGGUACCUUGACGGUACCUAACCAGAAAGCCACGGCUAACUACGUGCCAGCAGCCGCGGUAAUACGUAGGUGGCAAGCGUUGUCCGGAAUUAUUGGGCGUAAAGGGCUCGCAGGCGGUUUCUUAAGUCUGAUGUGAAAGCCCCCGGCUCAACCNGGGAGGGUCAUUGGAAACUGGGGAACUUGAGUGCAGAAGAGGAGAGUGGAAUUCCACGUGUAGCGGUGAAAUGCGUAGANAUGUGGAGGAACACNAGUGGCGAAGGCGACUCUCUG
rnacentral:rRNA from 1 species